GACGAACGCUGGCGGCGUGCUUAACACAUGCAAGUCGAGCGGUAAGGCCCUUUCGGGGGUACACGAGCGGCGAACGGGUGAGUAACACGUGGGUGACCUGCCCUCAGCUCUGGGAUAAGCCUGGGAAACCGGGUCUAAUACCGGAUAUGACUCCAUGACGCAUGUUGUGGGGUGGAAAGCCUUGUGCGGCUGAGGAUGGGCCCGCGGCCUAUCAGCUUGUUGGUGGGGUGUGGCCACCAAGGCGACGACGGGUAGCCGGCCUGAGAGGGCGACCGGCCACACUGGGACUGAGACACGGCCCAGACUCCUACGGGAGGCAGCAGUGGGGAAUCUUGCGCAAUGGGCGAAAGCCUGACGCAGCGACGCCGCGUGAGGGAUGACGGCCUC
rnacentral:rRNA from 1 species